ACGGAUGGCCAGGCAAUCGCGUCACCCGGGGAGGGUGCCGAGGAACGUCCGGGCUCCACAGGGCAGGGCGGUUGCUAACGGCAACCCGGCGAGAGCCGCGAGCCAGUGCAACAGAGAGCAGACCGCCGCUCGGGCUCCGGCCCGGGCGGUAAGGAUGAAACGGUGCGGCAAGAGCGCACCAGCGGUCCCGGUGACGGGCCGGCUAUGUAAACCUCGCCCCGGACAAGUCCAAACGCGCGCGGCCGGCCCGGCCGAUGCGCGCGGGUAGGACGCUAGAUCCGGCCGGUGACGGCCGGACGAGAUGGAUGGUCGCCACCGCGGGCGUCAGCUCGCGGGACAGAACCCGGCGUAUCGGUUCUCCUCACUC
rnacentral:RNase_P_RNA from 2 species